rnacentral:rRNA from 1 species
CGAGGGGAUCGCAAGACCUUGCGCUGAUUGAGCGGCCGAUAUCAGAUUAGCUAGUUGGUGAGGUAAAGGCUCACCAAGGCGACGAUCUGUAGCGGGUCUGAGAGGAUGAUCCGCCACACUGGAACUGAGACACGGUCCAGACUCCUACGGGAGGCAGCAGUGGGGAAUUUUUGGACAAUGGGCGCAAGCCUGAUCCAGCCAUGCCGCGUGAGUGAAGAAGGCCUUCGGGUUGUAAAGCUCUUUCGGCCGGGAAGAAAUCGCACAGGUUAAUACCCUGUGUGGAUGACGGUACCGGAAUAAGAAGCACCGGCUAACUACGUG